rnacentral:rRNA from 1 species
UAAGGAAUAUUGGACAAUGGGCGAAAGCCUGAUCCAGCCAUGCCGCGUGCAGGAUUAAGGCCCUAUGGGUUGUAAACUGCUUUUAGUAGGGAAAAAACCCUCGUUCGUGAACGAGGCUGAUGGUACCUACAGAAUAAGGAUCGGCUAACUCCGUGCCAGCAGCCGCGGUAAUACGGAGGAUCCAAGCGUUAUCCGGAUUUAUUGGGUUUAAAGGGUGCGUAGGUGGAUUAAUAAGUCAGUGGUGAAAGCCUGCAGCUUAACUGUAGAACUGCCAUUGAUACUGUUAGUCUUGAAUGUAGUUGAGGUGGGCGGAAUAUGACAUGUAGCGGUGAAAUGCUUAGAUAUGUCAUAGAACACCGAUUGCGAAGGCAGCUCACUAAGCUAUAAUUGACACUGAGGCACGAAAGCGUGGGGAGCAAACAGG